GGGAAUAUUGGACAAUGGGCGAAAGCCUGAUCCAGCCAUGCCGCGUGAGUGAUGAAGGCCCUAGGGUUGUAAAGCUCUUUCAACGGUGAAGAUAAUGACGGUAACCGUAGAAGAAGCCCCGGCUAACUUCGUGCCAGCAGCCGCGGUAAUACGAAGGGGGCUAGCGUUGUUCGGAUUUACUGGGCGUAAAGCGCACGUAGGCGGACUAUUAAGUCAUGGGUGAAAUCCCGGGGCUCAACCCCGGAACUGCCUUUGAUACUGGUAGUCUCGAGUCCGGAAGAGGUGAGUGGAAUUCCGAGUGUAGAGGUGAAAUUCGUAGAUAUUCGGAGGAACACCAGUGGCGAAGGCGGCUCACUGGUCCGGUACUGACGCUGAGGUGCGAAAGCGUGGGGAGCAAACAGG
rnacentral:rRNA from 1 species